AAUAAGCGGAGGAAAGAAACUAACAAGGAUUCCCCUAGUAACUGCGAGUGAAGCGGGAAAAGCUCAAAUUUAAAAUCUGGCGCCUUUGGACGUCCGAGUUGUAUUCUAGAGAAGUGUUUUCCGCGUUGGACCGUGUACAAGUCUCUUGGAACAGAGCGUCAUAGAGGGUGAGAAUCCCGUCUUUGACACGGACUACCAAUGCUUUGUGAUGCGCUCUCAAAGAGUCGAGUUGUUUGGGAAUGCAGCUCAAAAUGGGUGGUAAAUUCCAUCUAAAGCUAAAUAUUGGCGAGAGACCGAUAGCGAACAAGUACCGUGAGGGAAAGAUGAAAAGCACUUUGGAAAGAGAGUUAAACAGUACGUGAAAUUGCUGAAAGGGAAACGCUUGAAGUCAGUCGCGUUGAUUAGAACUCAGCCAGGUUUACUUGGUGCAUUUUCUAUUUAACGGGCCAGCAUCAGUUUUGACUGCAGGAAAAAGGUCAGAGAAAUGUGGCAUCUUCGGAUGUGUUAUAGUCUCUGGUUGUAUACUGUGGUUGGGAUUGAGGCUCUCAGCACGCUUUUGUUGUGCUUAGGAUGCUGGCGUAAUGGCUUUAAACGACCCGUCUUGAAACACGGACCAAGGAGUCUAACAAAUCUGCGAGUAUUUGGGUGGUAAACCCGAGUGCGCAAUGAAAGUGAAAGUUGGGAUCUCUGUCGUGGAGAGCACCGACGCCCGGACCAGACCUUUUGUGACGGAUCUGCGGUAGAGCAUAUUUGUUGGGACCCGAAAGAUGGUGAACUAUGCCUGAAUAGGGUGAAGCCAGAGGAAACUCUGGUGGAGGCUCGUAGCGAUUCUGACGUGCAAAUCGAUCGUCAAAUUUGGGUAUAGGGGCGAAAGACUAAUCGAACCAUCUAGUAGCUGG
rnacentral:rRNA from 1 species